rnacentral:rRNA from 1 species
GAAUUUUGGACAAAGGGCGAAAGCCUGAUCCAGCAAAGCCGCGCGCAGGAUGAAGGACUUCGGGUUGUAAACUUCUUUUGUACGGAACGAAAAGCAUUGGGUUAAUACCCUGGAGUCAUGACGGUACCGUAAGACGUAGAACCGGCUAACUACGUGCCAGCAGCCGCGGUAAUACGUAGGGUGCAAGCGUUCAUCGGAAUUACUGGGCGUAAAGCGUGCGCAGGCGGUUUUGUAAGACAGAGGUGAAAUCCCCGGGCUCAACCUGGGAACUGCCUUUGUGACUGCAAGGCUAGAGUACGGCAGAGGGGGGUGGAAUUCCGCGUGUAGCAGUGAAAUGCGUAGAUAUGCGGAGGAACACCGAUGGCGAAGGCAACCCCCUGGGCCUGUACUGACGCUCAUGCACGAAAGCGUGGGGAGCAAACA